AGCGGCGAGACGGCGUGUGCUGGGCGCCUCGGGUAUUCGCAUGUGAUGUGCUGGAGUGUCGGGGUGUCUUCACACCAGGGACAUUUGUCUUUGUGUCUGUCGGGGUACAUCUUGUGUAGCCUGUGCAAGUGAGGAAAGGUGUUCGU
rnacentral:lncRNA from 1 species